rnacentral:rRNA from 1 species
AGAAUCAACGCUGGCGGCGUGCCUCAGACAUGCAAGUCGAACGCGAAAGCCCCCUUCGGGGGGCAAGUAGAGUGGCGCACGGGUGAGUAACACGUAGGUAAUCUACCUUCGGAUGGGGAAUAACAACCGGAAACGGUUGCUAAUACCGCAUAAUGCAGCGGCACCUAAUGGUGACAGUUGUUAAAGCGGGGGAUCGAAAGACCUCGCGUCUGAAGAGGAGCCUGCGGCGGAUUAGCUAGUUGGUAAGGUAAUGGCUUACCAAGGCUACGAUCC